AGGUCACCUGAAGCUGUGGUUUCCCAAAUGGCAACAGCCUCCUACCUGAAGCCUCUGCACCCCUUCACUGUGGGUGAAGACUUUCCCCAGCAGCGCCAGAGCUUACUCCACCAAAUGGGAGUGUAAACUGGAACUGCAGGUGGCAGGACACCAGGGACAACCCUCAAGUAAUAGAGAUGGAAAAACAAAUCCUGCGACAAAGAUUCAAGAGUAAGAAAUUUAUUUGGAAGGUGAUCCCAGGAAACGUAAGUAGGAGAAUAGAAAAGUGAGAUAGAGCAAGAAGUAACUAAUAACAGAUCAUUCUUUCUGGGUCGGCCACUGAGGAAACUCAAACUAAGACAGAGAACAGGAGGGAGUUUCAAGGACUGUGCAUGCACAGGAACCAGAGAAAAGCUCACAGGAGAUGCCGGAGAACUGAGGCCAGAGGCCAAGACCUUCUGCCUCCAGAGGAUGCCUACAUCUCAGACUUGGCCCCGUAGCAGAUCAACACCUUGGCAUCCACUAACUACAGCCAUCCAUCUCCUACCGUGACAUGAAGGGAGCCUUUUAAUUAUUCUCCAGAUUAGUCAAUAGAUCAAAUGUACAAAUGAGCAGCCCACUCCUUCCUUAUUAUUACUGCUGCUGCUCCACUCCUGCCUGUAAUAUCUGGCCCACAUCCAGGGCUUUGUUUCAUUU